ensembl:lncRNA
CCCACUCAGCAGUUCCUUGAGCGGCGGAAGUUUGCUCUCCUAAAGCACAGGGUCCUAGCUCUGCUUUUAGCCAGGCCUGCAUUCUUCAAGAUCACCAACUCCACCAAGGCAUGGUCACUACAGCCCAGGCUGCCUCCAAUCUUAAUGUCUCUAAUGCUUUCCUCUUCAUUACUGAGCACCAGGUCCAGCAAGGCUUCACCUCGGGUUGGUCCACCAGCAAUCAGUGAUGGGGCAGAGGUAGUCAUGCUGUGCUGGACUGAGGAACAGAUUUGUAUUCACAGUCCCUGGUCUUCAUGUGGGAAUUCAACCACCCCAAUAUCUGUUGGAGAGGCAACAAAGCAAGGCAUGAGCAAUCCAGGAGGUUCCUAGAGUGUGUUGCAGAAUCACAGAACCACAGAAUCACAGAGAUCGAAAGGAACCUCAAGAGAUCAUCAAGUCCAACCUGCUGUUCUGUCCUUUACUGGGGAGCUGUGCAGUGCUGAGCUGUCUGCUGGGCUAAUUCACAACAGUGAACAUGCCUGUUAGACAAUCACAAACACUUGAUCCUCAGAUCUUAAUAGAAACUGUGCACAAAAUGGCCAGCAAAGUAAAAUCCAUUACUGUCAAAAUAAAUAUUAGAAAAUGACUAAAAAUAUUUGUCUUUCCUGGUUUAAUUGUAUUUUGUGCAUCACCUCAAAAAUGAAAGAAAUACAGUUGGGAAAUCUAAACCUUAUUUCAAACUACACACACCAGAUUGCUGAAUCCCUCCUCGAUAAAUAGCAGUAUUCUUGUACAGUGACAUAUUUAUCCUUUAGAGAAUUUAACAGUAGUAAGCAACAUUUCCAACCAAGGGAACAAAAGCAUUUGAAGUUUUAAAAAUGCUAAACUGACCCCUAAUGAAGGCCACACAGCACUAUCCAUCCAAGUUCAGGAGCGGGUAUAAGUUAGGGCCCACAUCCAGUUUAAACAAUGAAGGUGGCCAUCCAGUUCUGCAGUUUUUAAUUAUAUGGAUGCAGGCACUGCUGUGCCAUUUGGAUGUUUGGCACAGAACUGGCCCUAGAAACCUCAGCUACAUUGCUUUUUUUUUUUUUUUUUUAUGAUCUAACUGAUUUAAUCACAUCUACAGAUUUAGCAUCUCUUGUUUUCUUGGUGUUUUUUCUUUUUCUUUUUUUUUAAUUAUUCUAUUACUUUUCUUUGAAUGUGAAAAAGAGAAACUAUACAGUAAUAUAGGGGCAGGGGCAUCCCCCAGGUUGUGGUAGGAUUUUUAAAGCCGCAACU